UCCCUGGGAGUCCAGUGGUUAGGACUCAGUGCUUUCACUGCUGUGACCUAGGUUCAAUCCAUGGUCAGGGAA
rnacentral:tRNA from 1 species